CAGGAGCAGCAGCAGCAGCAGCAGCAAUAGGGAUCUGUGUAUCUGUAGAGCACCCAUCAAGCAGAGUUUCCAGAUGCUGCUGCUGCUGCUGCUGCUGCUGU
rnacentral:miRNA from 1 species